AGGUUAAGUUAACAAGGGCGCAUGGUGAAUGCCUUGGCACUAGGAGCCGAUGAAGGACGGACUAACACCGAUAUGCUUGGGGAGCUGUACGUAAGCUAUGAUCCGGAGAUUUCCGAAUGGGGCAACCCAGCAGUUUUAAUCAACUGUUACCACUAGAUGAAUUCAUAGUCUAGUUGGAGGUAAACGCUGUGAACUGAAACAUCUCAUUAGCAGCAGGAAUAUAAAGAAAUUUCGAUUCCCUAAGUAGCGGCGAGCGAACGGGGAACAGCCCAAACCAAAGUGCUUGCACUUUGGGGUUGUAGGACUGAACAUUUGAGUUACCAAAGAACUUGAUAGUCGAAGGAUUUGGGAAAAUCCGCCAUAGAUGGUGAUAGCCCAGUAGAUUAAAUCAAAUUCUCUCAGUUCAGGAUCCUGAGUACGGCGGAACACGUGAAAUUCCGUCGGAAUCCGGGAGGACCAUCUCCCAAGGCUAAAUACUACCUAGUGACCGAUAGUGAACCAGUACCGUGAGGGAAAGGUGAAAAGCACCCCGGGAGGGGAGUGAAAUAGUUCCUGAAACCAUGUGCCUACAAUAAGUCAGAGCGCGUUAAUGCGUGAUGGCGUGCCUUUUGUAGAAUGAACCGGCGAGUUAUGAUCCCGUGCAAGGUUAAGACUAAAAGUCGGAGCCGUAGCGAAAGCGAGUCUGAAAUGGGCGUUUUGAGUACGAGGUUAUAGACCCGAAACCAGGUGACCUAUCCAUGUCCAGGUUGAAGGUGCGGUAAAACGCACUGGAGGACCGAACCCGUGUAAGUUGAAAAUUGCUGGGAUGAGGUGUGGAUAGCGGUGAAAUUCCAAACGAACUUGGAGAUAGCUGGUUCUCUCCGAAAUAGCUUUAGGGCUAGCCUCGGAAUUAGGAUCAUGGAGGUAGAGCACUAUUUGGACUAGGGGCCCGUCUUGGGUUACUGAAUUCAGAUAAACUCCGAAUGCCAUUGAUUCAUAUCCGGGAGUCAGACGAUGAGUGAUAAGAUCCACCGUCGAAAGGGGAACAGCCCAGACCAUCAGUUAAGGUCCCUAAAUGUAUGCUAAGUGGAAAAGGAUGUGGAGUUGCAUAGACAACUAGGAUGUUGGCUCAGAAGCAGCCACCAUUUAAAGAGUGCGUAAUAGCUCACUAGUCGAGUGAUCCUGCGCCGAAAAUGUACCGGGGCUAAGCAUACUACCGAAACCAUGGAUGCGACCAUUAGGUCGCGUGAUAGGAGAGCGUUCUAAGGGCGGUGAAGCAAGAUCGUGAGGACUUGUGGAGCGCUUAGAAGUGAGAAUGCCGGUAUGAGUAGCGAAAGAUAGGUGAGAAUCCUAUCCACCGAAUGACUAAGGUUUCCUGGGGAAGGCUCGUCCUCCCAGGGUUAGUCGGGACCUAAGUCGAGGCCGAGAGGCGUAGACGAUGGAUAACAGGUUGAGAUUCCUGUACUAGUUAAGUGCGUUUGAGCAAUGGAGGGACGCAGGAGGCUAAGAUGUGCAUUCUGUUGGAUUAGAAUGUCCAAGCAGUAAGUCUUGUGAAGAGUCAAAUGCUUUUCACUUUAAGGACAAGCUGUGAUGGGGAGCGAAAUUUAGUAGCGAAGCGUCUGAUGUCACACUGCCGAGAAAAGCUUCUAGUGAGUACUUAACUACCCGUACCGCAAACCGACACAGGUAGUCGAGGAGAGAAUCCUAAGGUGAGCGAGUGAACUCUCGUUAAGGAACUCGGCAAAAUGACCCCGUAACUUCGGGAGAAGGGGUGCUGAUCGCAAGAUCAGCCGCAGUGAAUAGGCCCAGGCGACUGUUUAUCAAAAACACAGGUCUCUGCAAAAUCGUAAGAUGACGUAUAGGGGCUGACGCCUGCCCGGUGCUGGAAGGUUAAAAGGAUGGGUUAGCUUCUGGCGAAGCCCAGAAUUGAAGCCCCAGUAAACGGCGGCCGUAACUAUAACGGUCCUAAGGUAGCGAAAUUCCUUGUCGGGUAAGUUCCGACCCGCACGAAAGGCGUAACGAUCUGGGCACUGUCUCAACGAGAGACUCGGUGAAAUUAUAUUGUCCGUGAAGAUGCGGACUACCCGCGACAGGACGGAAAGACCCCAUGGAGCUUUACUGUAGCUUGAUAUUGAGUGUUUGUACAGCUUGUACAGGAUAGGUAGGAGCCAUAGAAACCGGAACGCUAGUUUCGGUGGAGGCGUUGGUGGGAUACUACCCUCGCUGUAUGACCACUCUAACCCGCACCACUAAUCGUGGUGGGAGACAGUGUCAGGUGGGCAGUUUGACUGGGGCGGUCGCCUCCUAAAAAGUAACGGAGGCGCCCAAAGGUUCCCUCAGAAUGGUUGGAAAUCAUUCGCAGAGUGUAAAGGCACAAGGGAGCUUGACUGCGAGACAGACAGGUCGAGCAGGGACGAAAGUCGGGCUUAGUGAUCCGGUGGUACCGUAUGGAAGGGCCAUCGCUCAACGGAUAAAAGCUACCCUGGGGAUAACAGGCUUAUCUCCCCCAAGAGUCCACAUCGACGGGGAGGUUUGGCACCUCGAUGUCGGCUCAUCGCAUCCUGGGGCUGUAGUCGGUCCCAAGGGUUGGGCUGUUCGCCCAUUAAAGCGGUACGCGAGCUGGGUUCAGAACGUCGUGAGACAGUUCGGUCCCUAUCCGUCGCGGGCGUAGGAAAUUUGAGAGGACCUGUCCUUAGUACGAGAGGACCGGGAUGGACAUACCUCUGGUGUACCAGUUGUGCCGCCAGGCGCAUCGCUGGGUAGCUACGUAUGGAUGUGAUAAACGCUGAAAGCAUCUAAGUGUGAAACACACCUCGAGAUGAGAUUUCCCAUUCCUUUAUGGAAGUAAGACCCCUGAAAGAUGAUCAGGUAGAUAGGUUAGAAGUGGCAGUGCGGUGACGCAUGAAGCGGACUAAUACUAAUCGGUCGAGGACUUAACCAAG
rnacentral:rRNA from 1 species